UACGAAGGGGGCUAGCGUUGCUCGGAAUUACUGGGCGUAAGGGGCGCGUAGGCGGACAUUUAAGUUAGAGGUGAAAGCCCAGGGCUCAACCCUGGAAUAGCCUUUAAUACUGGAUGUCUUGAGUUCGGGAGAGGUGAGUGGAAUGCCGAGUGUAGAGGUGAAAUUCGUAGAUAUUCGGCGGAACACCAGUGGCGAAGGCGACUCACUGGCCCGAUACUGACGCUGAGGCGCGAAAGCGUGGGGAGCAAACAGG
rnacentral:rRNA from 1 species